rnacentral:rRNA from 1 species
UACAGAGGGUGCGAGCGUUAAUCGGAGUUACUGGGCGUAAAGGGCGCGUAGGCGGUUUAAUAAGAUUGAUGUGAAAUCCCUGGGCUUAACCUAGGAACUGCAUCGAUGACUGUUAAGCUAGAGUAUUGUAGAGGGUAGUGGAAUUUCCGGUGUAGCGGUGAAAUGCGUAGAGAUCGGAAGGAACACCAGUGGCGAAGGCGGCUACCUGGACAAAUACUGACGCUGAGACGCGAAAGCGUGGGGAGCGAACAGG